rnacentral:rRNA from 1 species
AGAGUUUGAUCAUGGCUCAGGACGAACGCUGGCGGCGUGCUUAACACAUGCAAGUCGAACGGACGGAUUUAGAAGCUUGCUUCUAAUGAAGUUAGUGGCGGACGGGUGAGUAACGCGUGGGUAACCUGCCUUUAAGAGGGGGAUAACACUUCGAAAGGAGUGCUAAUACCGCAUAACAUUAUUAAACUGCAUGGUUUGAUAAUCAAAGGAGCAAUCCGCUUAAAGAUGGACCCGCGUCUGAUUAGCUAGUCGGUGAGGUAAUGGCUCACCAAGGCGACGAUCAGUAGCCGGCCUGAGAGGGUGAUCGGCCACACUGGGACUGAGACACGGCCCAGACUCCUACGGCAGGCAGCAGUGGGGAAUCUUCCGCAAUGGGCGCAAGCCUGACGGAGCAACGCCGCGUGAGUGAAGAAGGUCUUCGGAUUGUAAAACUCUGUCUUCAGGGAAGAAAAAAAUGACGGUACCUGAGGAGGAAGCCCCGGCUAACUACGUGCCAGCAGCCGCGGUAAUACGUAGGGGGCAAGCGUUGUCCGGAAUCAUUGGGCGUAAAGAGCGUGUAGGCGGAUAUUUAAGUCAGAUGUGAAAACUGGCGGCUCAACCGUGAGACUGCAUCUGAUAAUGGAUAUCUUGAGGGUAAGAGAGGGCAGUGGAAUUCCUAGUGUAGCGGUGAAAUGCGUAGAUAUUAGGAGGAACACCAGUGGCGAAGGCGACUGCCUGGCUUACAACUGACGCUGAGACGCGAAAGCGUGGGGAGCAAACAGGAUUAGAUACCCUGGUAGUCCACGCCGUAAACGAUGGGUACUAGGUGUAGGAGGUAUCGACCCCUUCUGUGCCGCAGUUAACACAUUAAGUACCCCGCCU